GACAGAGGGUGCAAACGUUGUUCGGAAUUACUGGGCGUAAAGGGCUCGUAGGCGGCCAACUAAGUCAUACGUGAAAUCCCCCGGCUUAACCUGGGAACUGCGUCUGAUACUGGAAGGCUUGAGGAUGGGAGAGGGAUGUAGAAUUCCAGGUGUAGCGGUGAAAUGCGUAGAUAUCUGGAGGAAUACCGGUGGCGAAGGCGGCAUCCUGGACCAUUACUGACGCUGAGGCGCGAAAGCUAGGGGAGCAAACGGG
rnacentral:rRNA from 1 species